rnacentral:rRNA from 1 species
UAAUACGGAGGGGGCUAGCGUUGUUCGGAGUUACUGGGCGUAAAGGGCGCGUAGGCGGCUGUGCAAGUCAGGUGUGAAAGGCCCGGGCUCAACCCGGGGACGGCGCUUGAGACUGCACGGCUUGGAGUCCGGGAGAGGAUGGUGGAAUUCCCAGUGUAGAGGUGAAAUUCGUAGAUAUUGGGAAGAACACCGGUGGCGAAGGCGGCCAUCUGGACCGGUACUGACGCUGAGGCGCGAAAGCGUGGGGAGCAAACAGGAUUAGAUACCCUGGUAGUCCACGCCGUAAACGAUGCGUGCUAGACGUUGGGGGGCUUGCCCUUCGGUGUCGCAGCUAACGCGCGAAGCACGCCGCCUGGGGAGUACGGUCGCAAGAUUA